UCGAACGAUGAAGCCCUUCGGGGUGGAUUAGUGGCGAACGGGUGAGUAACACGUGGGCAAUCUGCCCUUCACUCUGGGACAAGCCCUGGAAACGGGGUCUAAUACCGGAUAACACUCUCACAGGCAUCUGUGGGGGUUGAAAGCUCCGGCGGUGAAGGAUGAGCCCGCGGCCUAUCAGCUUGUUGGUGAGGUAGAAGCUCACCAAGGCGACGACGGGUAGCCGGCCUGAGAGGGCGACCGGCCACACUGGGACUGAGACACGGCCCAGACUCCUACGGGAGGCAGCAGUGGGGAAUAUUGCACAAUGGGCGAAAGCCUGAUGCAGCGACGCCGCGUGAGGGAUGACGGCCUUCGGGUUGUAAACCUCUUUCAGCAGGGAAGAAGCGAAAGUGACGGUACCUGCAGAAGAAGCGCCGGCUAACUACGUGCCAGCAGCCGCGGUAAUACGUAGGGCGCAAGCGUUGUCCGGAAUUAUUGGGCGUAAAGAGCUCGUAGGCGGUCUGUCACGUCGGAUGUGAAAGCCCGGGGCUUAACCCCGGGUCUGCAUUCGAUACGGGCAGACUAGAGUGUGGUAGGGGAGAUCGGAAUUCCUGGUGUAGCGGUGAAAUGCGCAGAUAUCAGGAGGAACACCGGUGGCGAAGGCGGAUCUCUGGGCCAUUACUGACGCUGAGGAGCGAAAGCGUGGGGAGCGAACAGGAU
rnacentral:rRNA from 1 species